rnacentral:rRNA from 1 species
UACAGAGGUCCCGAGCGUUGUUCGGAUUCACUGGGCGUAAAGGGUGCGUAGGUGGUGAGGUAAGUCGGAUGUGAAAUCUCCAAGCUCAACUUGGAAAUGGCAUUGGAAACUACCUUGCUGGAGGUUUGGAGGGGGGACUGGAAUUCUCGGUGUAGCAGUGAAAUGCGUAGAUAUCGAGAGGAACACCAGUGGCGAAGGCGGUUCUCUGGGACGGUACUGACGCUGAGACGCGAAAGCGUGGGGAGCGAACAGG